AAACCAUGAUAAGGACACUCUAAAAGGAGGUCCUUGAAACGUUCCAUGCAUCAAGAGAAUGAUACGUUGGGUCUUUGGUGAAACUGACGAAUGUCGUUCCUAAGUUU
rnacentral:snoRNA from 1 species